rnacentral:rRNA from 1 species
AACUUUCCAGAGAUGGAUUGGUGCCUUCGGGAACUCUGAGACAGGUGCUGCAUGGCUGUCGUCAGCUCGUGUUGUGAAAUGUUGGGUUAAGUCCCGCAACGAGCGCAACCCUUAUCCUUUGUUGCCAGCGGUUAGGCCGGGAACUCAAAGGAGACUGCCAGUGAUAAACUGGAGGAAGGUGGGGAUGACGUCAAGUCAUCAUGGCCCUUACGAGUAGGGCUACACACGUGCUACAAUGGCGCAUACAAAGAGAAGCGACCUCGCGAGAGCAAGCGGACCUCAUAAAGUGCGUCGUAGUCCGGAUUGGAGUCUGCAACUCGACUCCAUGAAGUCGGAAUCGCUAGUAAUCGUGGAUCAGAAUGCCACGGUGAAUACGUUCCCGGGCCUUGUACACACCGCCCGUCACACCAUGGGAGUGGGUUGCAAAAGAAGUAGGUAGCUUAACCUUCGGGAGGGCGCUUACCACUUUGAGAUUCAUGACUGGGGUGAAGUCGUAACAAGGUAAGCGUAGUGCU